rnacentral:rRNA from 1 species
GGACGAACGCUGGCGGCGUGCUUAACACAUGCAAGUCGAACGGUAAGGCUCCAGCUUGCUGGGGUACACGAGUGGCGAACGGGUGGGUAACACGUGGGUGACCUGCCCUGCACUUCGGGAUAAGCCUGGGAAACUGGGUCUAAUACCGGAUAGGACCAUGGUGUGGAUACUGUGGUGGAAAGUUUUUUCGGUGUGGGAUGGGCCCGCGGCCUAUCAGCUUGUUGGUGGGGUAAUGGCCUACCAAGGCGGCGACGGGUAGCCGGCCUGAGAGGGUGGACGGCCACAUUGGGACUGAGACACGGCCCAGACUCCUACGGGAGGCAGCAGUGGGGAAUAUUGCACAAUGGGCGGAAGCCUGAUGCAGCGACGCCGCGUGGGGGAUGACGGCCUUCGGGUUGUAAACUCCUUUCACCAUCGACGAAGGGUUUCUGACGGUAGAUGGAGAAGAAGCACCGGCUAACUACGUG